rnacentral:lncRNA from 1 species
AAGGACUUAUUUGAACACCUCAUGUUCUCCUGGCCUGAAAGUCGUCGUCUCCUCCGCGCAAGAGGUCGCCUCUGGUGGCGGAGGAGGGCCAAAUCAUGAUUUUAACCACUAAUCUCUUUGUAUGUGUCUCUUUUACACGAAUCUAUCAACAACUUCUCACAAUUCCAAAACCUAAAGCCUAAACCGGUUCUAAUUAUGUAUGAACCCUAAAUGUCAAAAGUGAAAUUAAAUACUCCUCUCAAGGAAUAAAAGCCCAAGAGGUUGGGGCUUUGAUUCCCCAUACCUUGGAUCACAUCCUGGUAAUAAUUUUGAAGCAAGAAGGUGAAAUUGAGCUUACGCCGCCGGAGACGAUGGAUAUGACGACGGAAUUCCGGUAAGGUUCUUGCUAUGAGCUUUCCUUGCAUCUGAAAUUCAACUAUUCUUAUUCCCUUUCUUCUCUUUAUCUCUUCUUUUACCCUGUCAUUCUUCUAUUGAUAUUUCAUGAGUGAUGGAUUGAAUUGAGGGUGAGGUAAUGAGAGAGAUUCAUGGAGAAUUUUGAUGAGUGGAUUUCAAAGUGAUUUGGUUCAAUAAUGAUGAAUGAUUGGAGAUGUGAAUGGAGUGAUGAAUUUGGUGAAUUAUUGGGGUUAGUUUUGAUGAAACUCAGGGUCUGGAGUUUGAUGAAUGAAAAUUGAGUGAUUUCUAAUGAAUGAAGGUGAAUGAUGGGAUUCGUGCUGAAGUUUGGAAUGGUGAUGAGUGAUUUCUGAUGAAUGAAUAUGGAUGAUGGAAUUCGAGAGAGUGAUGGUGAUAUUUAUAGGGGUUAGGAAUGGGUUAGAUUUAACAGCAAAUUCUGUUAGAAGUUAGUUGAUGAUGAGUUUCUGAAACUGAUUCAGUUGGAAGUUAGUUAUGCAUUUUAUUUUCUGUUAGGUAGUUAGAAUUCUAUUUUGUUAGGUUAUUGCAAGUUAGUUGGAUGAUUUCUAUUAUUGAUGAGUUUGAGAGAGAUUUUUGUGUUGGUGAAUGAAUUGAUUUCUAUUCAUGAAUGUUAGUAUGUGAACUGUUGUAUGUUAGCAGUUAGAAAGUGAUUGAAUGAAUUUUUGUUUGCACUGAGUGUACAUGUUUGAUUGUAUGCUACUGAUGCAUUGUUGUUAAUGUGUGAUUGUAUGGAAUAAAUUUUGUUACUAUGCAUUGCCUUGCUUGGUUUUUAAAUGAAGUCCAUUACCCUGGUAUUAUGAUGCAUUGUUGUUGAUGUGUUAUUUCUACUGCAUUUCCUAUUUGAAAUGUUGAUGGGUCUGUUAUAGCAGUUAGUGAUUAAAUUGGAUGUAUGUUGGCUAAUAUGUAUUGCCAUAGGUUGUUAUGUAUGCUUUGUGUGAUUGUUUAACUGUUUUGAUGAAUGCCUUAUAAUGAACAUGAUUGGGGCAUGCAAUGUGGUUGUUGUGCAAUGAAUUUGUUAGGUGUUGGUAAGUUGUUUAAAACUGGUUUAUAAUGAACAUGUAGAUGUUUGGCUGCUAGUUAUGUAUGGUCAUACACUAUGUGAUGUAAAUGAUAAUGAUGCUUGAAAUGUUAGGCCUUUUCAAUGAUAGUUGGAGUAUUUGGAUUGCUUGAAUGUGGGGUUGUUUCCAUGAAAGUGAAUGCAAUCGUUUAUAGUAUGUGACUGCCAUGAAAUGUUUGGUAUGAUUGUUCCCAUGUGCAUGGUCUUGGAUUGAAUGAUUAAUGAAUGUGUGAUUGGGUUAUGAUGAAUCAAGUUAGUGGUUGUGUAAGCAUGCUAGUUAUGCUUGAAUUAGGUUUGAUUGUGAUAACAUGUAUGUGUAUGUAAUGUGAAUGAUUUUGUAGGGUGAUGUAGACAUGAGAAAUCAAACCAAGAUGACUUGUAUUUAAAGAAGAUGGUGAAUGCAUAAGUUAAAAGUAUGUGGAACCUUUUCAAACAACAAAGAUAACUUGGUGGAGAAGCAAUGUAAGAAAUGGGGUUUAGGAUCAUCAAAAUAGUCAGUUGACUUGAUCAACUAGUUGACCAAAAAGUCAAUAGUUGACCAAAUGUCAACUUAGGUAGAAAAAUGUAUUUUUUUUGUAUAAAACAAUUUGUAAUGGCUUUGAUGAAGUCAUACUUUGUAAUGAAAUCCCCUUUAUUUGAAAUGCAAAUGGGCUUGGAAGUGAAAUGGAAUUUAAAUGAUGUAUUUAAUGGAAUGAAUUUGAAUGAAACAUGACUUUGAAUGAA